CCUACGGGUGGCAGCAGUGAGGAAUAUUGGUCAAUGGGCGAGAGCCUGAACCAGCCAAGUCGCGUGAGGGAGUACUGCCCUAUGGGUUGUAAACCUCUUUUGUCGGGGAGCAAAAGCCGGACGUGUCCGGCUGUGAGAGUACCCGAAGAAAAAGCAUCGGCUAACUCCGUGCCAGCAGCCGCGGUAAUACGGAGGAUGCGAGCGUUAUCCGGAUUUAUUGGGUUUAAAGGGUGCGCAGGCGGAUUUUUACGUCAGCGGUAAAAUCGUGGGGCUCAACCCCAUCCAGCCGUUGAAACUGGGGAUCUAGAGUGUGCGAGAGGUAUGCGGAAUGCGUGGUGUAGCGGUGAAAUGCAUAGAUAGCACGCAGAACCCCGAUUGCGAAGGCAGCAUACCGGUGCACAACUGACGCUCAGGCACGAAAGCGUGGGUAUCGAACAGGAUUAGAUACCCCAGUAGUC
rnacentral:rRNA from 1 species